rnacentral:rRNA from 1 species
UACGUAGGGUCCGAGCGUUGUCCGGAUUUAUUGGGCGUAAAGAGCUCGUAGGCGGUUUCGUAAGUCGGAUGUGAAAACUCAGGGCUCAACCCGGAGACGCCAUCCGAUACUGCGAUGACUGGAGUCUGGUAGGGGAUCACGGAAUACCUGGUGUAGCGGUGAAAUGCGCAGAUAUCAGGUGGAACACCGAUGGCGAAGGCAGUGAUCUGGGCCAGUACUGACGCUGAGGAGCGAAAGCGUGGGGAUCAAACAGG